CGUUGAGACUAAGCUAACAUUUUACAAAAAUAAACUUUAGAAUAUCUGUAUCAAAACAACUUUCAGUUCCCUAGUGUAGAGAUGGCGCCAGAUGGACUGUGUUGCGAUACCUGUCACAAUAGGAUGUAUUUAACAACAUGGCACUAGAUCAGAGAGUUAUACCUCCCCUCAGUCCACAUAUAACGCCAGAAAUGGAGCAAGAGAUGAGAGAUAUCGAACUCGCUAAAAAGUUGAGUCUGGAGACUGCAGAAGAAGAUAGGCUCCGUAGAUUAGAGCGUCAAUGGAACUCAGGACGUCUUGGUAUUCCUGAGUCAAAUAUGGCAAGAGCUGGCUCAGUUCCAGAUUUCAUGUGUCAUUUUUCAGACUCUGGGUUAUCGAGGGCUGCAUCUGCAUCACCUUCCCCAACCACUGCAACUAGUCAAGUUAAUACUCUAGCAGCUCCAAAGCUGCCCCCUCCAAGAGCCAUACCCAGGCCUAGGUCAUCUAAUAACCUACGAGGGAUAGUAGGUCAAGGUCCCGUCGUAGCAACUAAAAGUGCACUUGCCCCCACAAACAUAAGUUCUGCAUCAGCAAAUAAGUUAAAUAAUGAUGCAGUUAAAAACGCUACAAUUGAACAGGAUAAAGGGGGAAGAGUAAGGACAAACAGUGCAGAUAUGAUCUUGGAGGAUAUUCCCCCUUCAUCAUCCCUACCUGAUAAACCUCUCAUAAGUUUCUCACCUACUGAGAAAAUGAAAAAUUUUGAUUUUGAUUUGAGCAGUUUGGAUCCAUUAAAUGUAGAGGGUGCUUCAGCUCUGAGUGCACUUUUAAAGGAUGAUGUUGAUAGUAGGAUUAAACAACAUUCUACACCUAAUUCUCCCACUAGGAGUCAUCGUGUAUCAACUGGGAUGCAUGCUGGUACAGUGGCUAUAGCUAAUCAACAUAUGGGUAGAGGAAAUCAAUUCAAUUUCCCAACACGAGGGGCACAUAUUGGCAGUGGUAGGGGGGUGGGGGCACAACAAAGGGUGAUAAGUGAUCCAACAGGAAUGUAUGCCCUACCCCCUAGACUGCCCCAAAGGAGUAAGACAUAUACGCCACGUCUUACAGAUGUGCCUCCCCCUCCCCCUGCCAGGCCUCCAGUUGACCUCUCAAGGCUAUCUGUACUUUACAAUCCCCAACAGGGACAACCAGGGGACCCAGAACCCUCCCCCACAGAGGCGUCAAUUCAGUUCUCCAAUAAAUCAGUAGAGGAAGGGAACUUACUGGAUGUUUACUAUGAGGAUCACGACUACAUGAGCCUUGAAAGUUUUGAUCCUCUAUUUGAUGAUAAUGAUACUAACUUUGAAGCAGUUAGUGACCAUAGUACAUUUUUACAUAACAUUUUACUCAACAAUAAACCACCAGAGACAUAUAUGAAAGUACGCACAAAAAGUACACGUGCAGAGUCCCAAAAAGUGCCAACAACUACAACAACAAGUCAUUCAGCUGAUGUAGAUAUUCAAGACCCAUUCUCAGUUAGUGAACUCUCAGCUUUAAGAGCCAGCCACAAGCAGAAGGAAGUUGAAACUAAAACUGAAGUCAGUACUGUUAAAACUAAUCUAAAGUCCGAGCCAAAUAAGUUUAGACAAAACAAUGCGGAACAACCUGUUAGACCUCAGAGACCAAGAAAGGUAUCAAAAAGCAAGGAUGAUUCUGGUGACAGAUUACGUCAUACAACAGAUAUUGAUGAAUCUACUCAGGCAUUCUGCGCCAUGGUUGCCAGAAUAAGUAAUCGGUAUUCACCAAGUGAUCCUCAGACAAACCAUGGUAUUAUAAUAAGCCCUCGUCUAACAAAUAUGCCCUGUGACCCUAUACAGGUCAAGGUGAUCAUAAGUGCCAAAUUUGCCCCAGAGCCAGUGAAGUUUACAUGUGAUGUGCACUCUGCUGUAGAACAUGUGAUCAGUAAUGUAUUAUACACACUGUGUGAUGAUUUAGGACAACUCACCACCGAUGACUUCAUACUCAAAGUCCAUGGAAGAUCAGAGUACCUACUCAAUGAGUUUAUUCUCUGGGAGUAUGAGUACAUACAGAACUGUAUGAAGAUGGACAUAGACAUCAAACUGGAACUCUUGGAGAUUAAGAAGAUGAAAAGACCCCUUCUAAGAACUCCUCAAGACACAAGACAGCCGAUGUACUUGCCAAAGUUACGGCCCAAAGAAGGACAGGCCGUGACCAAAGCUACAAUGACCAUCUUACUUGAUACAUUCUACAAGGAAGUGGAAAAAUUGAGGGAUAAAUGUAUCAAGGCUGAGAAGGUCCAGACCAGUGCAGUUAUUCAAUCCAUAAAGGCGAUAUGUUCAAUCCUGGCUGCCAUUGAGACUAAUGAUAUCACAAAGGCCAUCAAGAGGCUUGUGUCUCUAACUGGGGAUACAACAAAAGACCAAGUGACCCAAGAUGUAGUAGAUGGGGACUCUAAGUUUGCUAUGGUGGACUCAAGAUCAAGGUCAGCCAGUGAUAUCGUAGAAGAUAUAUUGGACUGUUUAGAGAACUUAACACGUGCAGUAGAACAAUUGCUCUCCAUGUUCUGUGCAACAUUCCUUACAGACUUUAACCUCAACGAAAGUAAUAAACAUCAUAAAGAGGACCAAAGUUGUGCAAAGAUGACUGACAGCAUCAUUGUUCAGAUAGGCUCCGCCCACAGACUGCCUAUCCAAUGGAAGAAUGUCUAUGAAAACUACAAAGUCAUAUGUGGCCUUUAUUAUGGUGGGAAACUCAUAUGUCAAGAGAAAGUCAGCAAGACAACGCAUAUUUUAAGAGGAGGCUUCCAGGAGAAAAUCAGUUGGGAUGAAUGGGUAGAGUUUGAUGGUCUAUGUGUUGGUACAAUCCCCAGAGAGACCAGGCUCUGUAUGACACUUUAUGGUAUCAGGACCGUUCCCACAGACAGUAAACAGCACACUGCAGGGCACCAGAUGAAUGAUGCAUUAGGUUGGGCGACUGUGCAGCUUUUUAACUACAGAGGACAUUUGACUCAAGGCCCCCAAUUGCUGGGACUGUGGCCAGAUGGGCAGGCCAAACCCACAGGGACUUGCCAGAGCUUCGUUGAUAACUCAGACAGUGUACUUCUUCAGGUGUCUCUUCCUGACUUUGAACAUGUUGUCUACUUCCCUGCAGUAGAAGUUGGAGAAAUAAAUGACCCACAGCCAUUUGCAAACCUACAUCCUGACUCUAAGGAACAACUGCAAGAGAUUUUGGAACGUGAUUGUAUCUCUCUAUGUAAUGCCUAUGAGAAAGAAGUCCUCUGGGAGAAGCGCCAUUACCUGUAUGGCCACCCUGAGGCACUUGUGAGAGUGCUUGCAGCCUGUACCUCAUGGGAGUGGGCCUCCCUUGCCGAUACCUAUACCAUGGUGCAACAGUGGUCUCCUCUGACACCUAUACAGGCUAUGACACUACUACUUCCAAGCUAUGCUGAUAUUCAGAUCCGCACUGCUGCAGUUGAGUGGAUCAAAGACAUUGAGAGUGAUGAAUUGGUGGAUGUUCUGCCACAGUUGGUGCAGGCGCUGAAGUAUGAGAGCUACCACGACUCUGCCUUAUCCAGAUUCCUCCUAGAUAGAUCUGCCAGCAACAUCAGGGUGGCACACCAGCUCUACUGGCUAUUGAAGGAGGCAGCUGAGAAUGUAAUGUCCCGGAAGAGAUACCAGUUGAUGUUUGGCGCUUUGAUGAGCAUUGUGGGUAAAUCAUUGAGAAAAGAAUUUGAGAAACAGGAAGAGCUGGUGAAGAAACUUGCCAUUAUUGCUGAGACUGUCAAAAUGGCCAAGGAUAAAGAUGAUGCACUGAAUCGUGAGCUUGAGAUGAUUUAUGAGAUGCUGUAUGAAGAAACAGCCCGUCUGCCACUCAGCCCAAGUCUAGAGAUCAGUGGAAUAGAUAGAAAGUCAUGCUCAUAUUUUGCAUCCAAUGCAACUCCAUUGAAGCUUGUUUUCAAAAAUGUAGACCCCAAAGCUGUAUCCAUAUACACCAUGUUUAAGGUAGGGGAUGACUUGAGGCAAGACCUGCUUACACUACAGCUGAUACGCAUCAUGGACAAACUCUGGCUAAAGGAGGGCUUGGAUCUCAAGAUGAUCACAUUUGGGGUUCUGCCUACUGGCAACAAAAGAGGUCUCAUUGAAUUGAUAACAGAGUCUGAAACUCUGCGGAAGAUCCAAGUGUCUCAUGAUGGUGUGACUGGUUCUUUUAGAAAUAGACCAGUGGGUGUUUGGCUUCAAAAACACAACCCUACAGAGCUAGAGUACAAAAAGGCUGUGAGCCAUUUUACAAGAUCUUGUGCAGGUUAUUGUGUGGCUACAUACAUUCUUGGUAUUUGUGAUCGCCAUAACGACAACAUCAUGCUAAAAGAAUCUGGGCACAUGUUCCAUAUAGACUUUGGCAAGUUUUUAGGUGACGCUCAAAAGUUUGGGAAUAUUAGUAGAGACCGUGUACCAUUUGUGUUCACAGCAGAUAUGGCAUAUGUCAUAAAUGGCGGGGACAAACCCAGUAGUAUGUUCCAGAACUUUGUAGACUUGUGCUGCAAUGCAUUUAACAUCAUCAGGAAAAAUGGCAAUCUCUUUAUGACUCUGCUUGAAAUGAUGGCCGAUUCUGGUAUUCCUGGUGUGAACCACAAUGCUGUAGAAUAUGUCCAGAAGAACCUAAUGCCCCAGAGCUCUGAUGCUGAAGCUACAGCUGCAUUUACAAGGAUGAUUGAAAGUAGCUUAAAUUCAGUGUCCACAAAGUUUAAUUUCUUCAUUCACAACCUGGCUCAGUGGAAGUUCAAGGGACACCAAGAGGGGGCGCUGUUGUCAUUUAUUCCAAAGACAUACAGUAUGCAGACAGAUGGCCUUAUUACAGACAUUAAGGUCCACAACUUUCAAAAACGCUACAACCCAGAGAAGUAUUAUAUCUACAUCAUCAAGAUAUUUAGAGAAGGUCAAAGGGUACCCUCUCACAUAUUCCGGCGCUACUCAGAGUUCUAUGAAUUCCAUAGCAAACUAGUGAUGACAUUCCCUUUAGCGACCAUCCCCCCUCUGCCUGGGAAGAUUUUACUGGGAAGAACACAUAUAAAGACCGUGGCGGAAAAGCGAAAGAUGGAAUUAGAGAACUUUAUGAGAGAAUUGCUGCUUCUUGCACCUGAGAUAUCACAGCAUGAUCUUAUAUAUACAUUUUUCCAUCCAAUGUUGAGGGAUGAAACAGAAGUGGAUAAAAUGGACAAGCAAAAAGUUAGAGAACCCACAUCACCUAGAGAAUUGAAUAGGUCUAUACAAGGGGAAGUGAAACUGUCUCUGUUAUAUAAAAGUGAUUCUCUAUACAUCAUGGUUAUGCACGCCAAAGACAUUGCCAAUGGAUGUGGGGAGCCUCCAGAUCCAUAUAUUAAAACAUACCUACUUCCUGAUCGUGGCAAGUUCACCAAGAAAAAGACAAGAAUCGUCGAGAGGACUUUCCAUCCAACAUUCAAUGAAAUGCUCAUAUACCGAAUGCCAUAUGACCAGAUCACUACUCGAACUUUACAAGUCACGAUCUGGAACUAUGAUAGACUGAAAGAAAAUGAAUUCAUGGGUGCCGUUUAUAUAAAACUAAGUGAAGUGAAUCUUCUGAAGGAAGAAGCCAAGUGGUAUACUGUUGGGAAUUUACAGCUGAUUGCAUGAGGAAGUGGAGGAAAUGUCAUUGGUGGAUGGUGAUACUUCAAUUUGAAAAAUCGGACAGAACAGUGUAAAGAUACCAAGGAACAAAUACAUGUGUGAAGUUAAUAUAAACUGCCAAGAAAUUGAAGGACAUAUGAAAUUAAUUGAAUUUUGAGGAGAAAUAUCGUAGAAUAAGCAUGAAGAGUCUGACAAGUAUUUAAUCCUUGCAUGUUAAGCACUUGUAAGAUUGUCCCUCAAAUUUUAAUUAAUGCAAAAAUGGCAGUAAAGUAGUCCAGGAAGUCAGAGCUGCGAUGUCUGAAAUAUUUAUAUACCUGAUAAUAUAUACAUAUAGAGAACGAAAAAUUAAUUGGAAAAGGAUUUAUACUGAAAUGAAAUUAUGAAAGACACACAUUUUACUUUGUAUUCUAAAUUAUUGCAAACAUCGUUCUUAACUCAUUUUUGAUAUGCAAUCGAGAAGAGAGCCUAAGCAUGGGCUUUCAAGAUGGCCCAUAUUGUAAGCCUUAAUUUUUGGAAAUUCAAUUUUACAGUUUUUGAGAAUUGUAAAAUAUGGCUGUGAUGAAUUUUAGCCUUAUAGAAAAAGAUCCAUUGCAUUGAUCAAUCAAUUUUUGUUGGCCAAUAUGUAUUAUGGAAAUUAUUUGAUAGUCCAACUUUGUUUUGUCUAUUACUGUAUUGUGGAAUAUUGCAAAAAAUGUCAAUUUUAUUUAUGUAAUUUUAUGUACAUGUAAAUGAAGGUAGUACAAAGUGGGAUCAAGCAUGGAUGUAGCCAGGAUAAAAAAGGAAAAAUAGUUGGGACAGAGUAAUGCUUUCUCUGUUACUGUGUUCUCUAUUACAUGUUAACAAUGUCUACUAUAUGUACAUGGUAACACAUAUUUACAAAAUAUAUGGUAAAAUAAUGUUCAUUAUUAUACAAGGUAACCUAUUUAUUUAUACAUGGUCUAGUGCUUGACUAUAUCUACUCUACAGGGUGGGCCAAAAGUAUUUAUCUAUAUUAUUCUGAAAAUAGAGUAGUCAUCUGAUAACCAAUCAGAUUACAGUUAUAGGUUCAAUUUAUGACGCAAAAUGUUGCAAAAACUGUCCAAUGCACGGAGCUUUAUUUAUUAAAAUCUGAAUGUGUAUGCACAAAAUUAAAAAAUCUCUACUUGAAAUGAAUUAAAAUGUUUUUAAUAAAAUUAAAGAAGUAAAUUAUUUUCUUAUUUCUCUUAGAUGAAAAAUUUCUUAGAUAAGAUUCCUCGAUUCCAAAAAUCAAUAAUAAAGGGCCACUGUACAAGUUGCAUUUUUAUGAACUUACAUGUACAUAUAUGGAAAGCUCUGUAUUAGAGAAAUGCCCUAUUAUGUAUAUUGGAGAGAAUGAAAACUUCUAACUUGAUAAUGUCACUGCUAAUAAAUGGCUUACAUGAAGGUUUCUUUAAUUAUAAUUGUACAAAUCAUCUAAAAAUUAUAUGAAACAAUGCUUUAAAGUAUAUGGGCUUAUAAGUACCUUGCAUGUACUUUUAAUGCAGUAAGUGAAUAAAAUAAAGUAUGAAUUGUGUGAAUAUUGCAAACAUAAUAGUU
rnacentral:misc_RNA from 1 species